AUUGAACGCUGGCGGCAUGCUUUACACAUGCAAGUCGAACGGCAGCGGGGGCUUCGGCCUGCCGGCGAGUGGCGAACGGGUGAGUAAUGCAUCGGAACGUGCCCAGUCAUGGGGGAUAACUACGCGAAAGCGUAGCUAAUACCGCAUACGUCCUGAGGGGGAAAGCGGGGGAUCGCAAGACCUCGCGUGAUUGGAGCGGCCGAUGUCGGAUUAGCUAGUUGGUGGGGUAAAGGCCUACCAAGGCGACGAUCCGUAGCGGGUCUGAGAGGAUGAUCCGCCACACUGGGACUGAGACACGGCCCAGACUCCUACGGGAGGCAGCAGUGGGGGAAUUUUGGACAAUGGGGGGCAACCCUGAUCCAGCCAUGCCGCGUGAGUGAAGAAGGCCUCGGUUGUAAGACUCUUUCUAGACGGAAAGGAAAUACGGGACGGGUGGAAGUAUACCUGCCUGGAUGACGGUACGUGUCAGAAGAAGACACCGGACUAACUACGUAGCCAGCAGCCGCGGUAA
rnacentral:rRNA from 1 species